GACAGAGGGUGCUAGCGUUGUUCGGAAUUACUGGGCGUAAAGGGCGCGUAGGCGGCUUGGCAAGUCGGAUGUGAAAGCCCGGGGCUCAACCCCGGAACUGCAUUCGAGACUGUCCGGCUGGAGUCCGGAAGAGGAAGGUGGAAUACCCAGUGUAGAGGUGAAAUUCGUAGAUAUUGGGUGGAACACCAGUGGCGAAGGCGGCCUUCUGGUCCGGAACUGACGCUGAGGCGCGAAAGCGUGGGGAGCAAACAGG
rnacentral:rRNA from 2 species